rnacentral:rRNA from 1 species
GAUGAACGCUGGCGGCGUGCCUAAUACAUGCAAGUCGAGCGAACAGACGAGGAGCUUGCUCCUCUGACGUUAGCGGCGGACGGGUGAGUAACACGUGGAUAACCUACCUAUAAGACUGGGAUAACUUCGGGAAACCGGAGCUAAUACAGGAUAAUAUAUUGAACCGCAUGGUUCAAUAGUGAAAGACGGUUUUGCUGUCACUUAUAGAUGGAUCCGCGCCGCAUUAGCUAGUUGGUAAGGUAACGGCUUACCAAGGCAACGAUGCAUAGCCGACCUGAGAGGGUGAUCGGCCACACUGGAACUGAGACACGGUCCAGACUCCUACGGGAGGCAGCAGUAGGGAAUCUUCCGCAAUGGGCGAAAGCCUGACGGAGCAACGCCGCGUGAGUGAUGAAGGUCUUCGGAUCGUAAAACUCUGUUAUUAGGGAAGAACAAAUGUGUAAGUAACUAUGCACGUCUUGACGGUACCUAAUCAGAAAGCCACGGCUAACUACGUG